rnacentral:lncRNA from 1 species
GUUAGUAUUCAACACUUUAAUAUUUAUGGUGUAUCACAUAAAAAACAAAGUCAUAUACUUUUGCAUUAAUCAAAAAAUAGCAAAUCCAUAUAAUGGCAAAAUCAGGAAAAAAAUUCUAGUAUUUCCACAAAAUACAUAAUGUCUUACAGAUGAUUAUGUGAACUUUAAAUGUCUGCAGCCCUACAGAGCUUUUGUUGCCAAUUGAAAAACAAAAAAAUCCCAACACAGGAUGUUCAAAAAGCCUAAUUCAUAAAAAGACAAUUUAUUCCAUGUUUAAUAUAGUGUUUUUUAGGAUGGUAACAUAAGUCAUGCAACAGCUCUGUAAAACAAAACAAAACAAGAAACUACGAUGUCGGCUGCGGGUUAAAUAAAAAGAAAACCACACAUACAAAAAAGAAUGUAAGGAAUGGUUAGUGGUGCUGCCAAUUAAAAAAAAAACUGUAAUUAAAUCAUCUUACCACCCAAAAGUGAUAUGGAAAACUGUUUGAAUCUGAGCAUGGACAUGGUUGUAGUCAUCUUUUGGAAUUAUAAGUGAAAGUGAUAGGUAACUCCUUGUGUUCCAUUUCUCAGAGUAGAUUGCUAUAUCCAAAUGAUCAUGAACACCCCUCCCAUCCCACACUCAGAUGGAAAGCAGCCAGAACCCCUGCCACUGGAUUCUUCAGCACCCUUGGGACAGUCUCCAACUGACACUUCCCAGCAGGGGAGGAGGGCAGGCACCUUUGGUGACUCUUCAGUGAGACUCCAUCGACAUUCAGAAUCUUAAAAUUGUUGUGACAUCCAACGAAGGACUUCCACGUCACGUGGGAAUAAAUUUGAACAGAUACAUCCAAUUGAACAUAGUGUCUCAG